rnacentral:rRNA from 1 species
AGUGAACGCUGGCGGUAGGCCUAACACAUGCAAGUCGAACGGCAGCACAGUAAGAGCUUGCUCUUACGGGUGGCGAGUGGCGGACGGGUGAGGAAUACAUCGGAAUCUACUUUUUCGUGGGGGAUAACGUAGGGAAACUUACGCUAAUACCGCAUACGACCUACGGGUGAAAGCAGGGGAUCUUCGGACCUUGCGCGAUUGAAUGAGCCGAUGUCGGAUUAGCUAGUUGGCGGGGUAAAGGCCCACCAAGGCGACGAUCCGUAGCUGGUCUGAGAGGAUGAUCAGCCACCCUGGAACUGAGCCACGGUCCAGACUCCUACGGGAGGCAGCAGUGGGGAAUAUUGGACACUGGGCGCAAGCCUGAUCCAGCCAUACCGCGUGGGUGAAGAAGGCCUUCGGGUUGUAAAGCCCUUUUGUUGGGAAAGAAAAGCAGCAGGUUAAUACCCCGCCGUUCUGACGGUACCCAAAGAAUAAGCACCGGCUAACUUCGUG